AGAUGCUCUCACUUUUCAUUCAAAUUUAGAGGCCUGGUAUAAAGACAGCUAUAGAUUUAUGGAAACGGUAGAGUUAUCGGAAAGGGCUGUAGGAUGCUAGAUUUAUACCAGCCGCUGAUAAUGCAGCACAGUCUGGGGGCAGUUCCUGGUGGCUGACGUCUGAGGAAAUAGACGGCAACACCCAACUGCAGAUGGCUCCUGAUAACUGGCCAUCUCUUUUCCGAGUGGCCAGAAGUGUUAUUUCGGGAGCACGACACAGAGCAGACCAUCUGUUAAGGUUCUGGGGGAAGCUUCAGUUGGUCAUACGUGGCGAAGGCAGCCAAUGAGUCAGAACUCGAGCACGGCCGUGGACGUGCCAGAGGUCGCCGAACCCCCCGUGCUGACCGCAAGGGAAGGGCUCCGAGCUCCAGGGAUCACGGACACUCCGAGGGAAGGGGCUGAGGGCUGCUGGGGUGUCUGCUGGGCCUCUGCCAGGCCUCCGUUGUCCCCGUGUCUUGGAAACCGGGAAACGUGUUGCUUUGCUGUCUAUUUUUGGUACCAGAGGACUGUGGCCUUUCCCGAACAAGCGUGUCUCUCGUGUUAACGGUGUGCGAGCAGACGUGCCCUGGGAAGGCUGGUUCGAGGCUAACGGGGCAAGAAUCACAACACACAGCGAGUAACUGUAAUUUCCCAGAGGAAAAGCGAAGCCUGCAGAUCUUCUCAAACCUUUAUCCCGAGUGUGAAGUUUUGUUUUCAAUGCUUGAAAGGCCAGAGUUGUCUUCGUAAACAGAGACUGGGCCUCAGCAGGCCAGACCAGGGGGACGUCUGACCUCGGCCAUCACUGGCCAGGCCCUGACGGGCUCUGGCAUUCACCUGCUCUCGUCUCCAACACGUCCCUCGCCCCGGAAAGUUCAGCGUGCGCUUCAUAUGUCUUGCAAAGCAACAGCGAUGGACACUGCUUCCCCUUGUGGGCCUGUGUGGGGUGCCACGGCUCCCGGAGGCUAUAACCAACUAGAUAGAUCUUCGACGGCGGUCUCUCGUUCCCAUACCUAAAUGCUAACAAAACCUGUUAAACCGCGGUCAUCUGCGACUACUUCUGAGAUGUUCCAGCCUCUUCUUGUACUUCCUUGCCCCAGCUGCAGAAUUGACCGUUUCUCCCAGGAGUCCUGUAUCUUUUGAGAGGAUGAUGGUAUUGAGCAGUCAAGCCCCAGGCACUGGAUGUGUUCAUUUCCAUGGGGGUGUUGCCGCUCCCGGCCUUCUUGGGGAGCAGAAGGAGGAAGCAUCUGUCUCUCUCCUUGGCCAAAAGAUGGUCGCCUUCUCCUGUGUCCUCCCAUGGAAUUCCCUCUUUGCAUGUCUGUAUCCUGAUCUCCCCAUCUUGAAAAGACACCUGUCACAUCAGAUGAGGGCCCACACAUCUGCCUUUGUUUUCACUGAAAUACGUCUUUGAAGACCGUAUCUCCAAAUACGGUCACACUCUGAGGAUCAUCAGUUCCACCUGAAGCCAAAAGGUCCACUUUUUUUUUUUUCUUUUUUUCUUAACAUCUAAACUGGCUUCGAAUGGAGACAGACUUCUCCUUUACUUAUUUCCAUCUUACUUUUUUUACAAACUAGUAUCCGUGAGCAUGCAUUUUAUGCUACGUAACACAAGGGCAUGAUUCGACCGUAGUUUCUUUUUGCCACGAGGGGUUGGCACAAAGCUUCCCUCUGCAUCAGGUUCCGCUGCACCAGCUCAGCGAGGAGGAGUGUGCGGCGCCCGGGCUCAGGCCGCAGAGCUGGGCUGUUUGGGGCAAGACUCACCAUCUUGCUGGCAUGCCCUCUCCUCUGCCGUGAAAUGGAAGAAUUGCCCCCGCCAGGGCGCCUAGUGCCUGGAGAACGCUCAACAAUAAACAACUUCGUGCCGAAUACUUGUGGGAAUCAGAGAGAGAGAGUGUGGCCAAAACCCCCACAACGGUACCCGCCAGCCCGAGAGAAGAAUCGAGAAAAGGGGCAGUAGAGAAAGAGCGAUAGAUGGCAAGCUUUAUCGUUUCUGGCGAUGGGUCUUGGUGAUAGGGUUCAGGAAUUGGUGCAGAAGAGCGGAAGUCAAAAAUUAGGGGAACUGCGACCCGUUUUCUUUAGAUAAACCGUAUCUUUAUAGGACCAUGGUAGAUUACACAGAGCAUCACGCUUUUCCUUUGAUUCCAUUGCGCACCCCGGACGGGCAUCCCGUCUUCAGACCCGGCUCUGCGUCCCCCUAAAUCCCGGGGAGUCGUGCCUCCCUGGCCACCGCAGUAAGAAGCGGUCUGGGGGACACACUCCCCCAGGGUGGCCAGCGGGCACCUUCCCGUGUGCAUGAAAGUUCACUGAACUCGCCCCCCUGCCCCCCCCCCCCCGGCCUUGUUCUCUUCCCUUCCAUCAGCAGCUCAGAGCUGAGCUGUCCACUAAGCUCUCCUCCACGCCGUCCAAAGGCACUCGUCCCCGGACUCUGAAUUAGACACGGCAGAAAAGAGUCUGCAAGGUCAAACGCAGAGUAGUUCCUCUUUCGGUAUCAAAAUAAAGCAUUCCUUGCAUUUC